rnacentral:rRNA from 1 species
CCUACGGGGGGCAGCAGUGGGGGAUAUUGCACAAUGGAGGGAACUCUGAUGCAGCGACGCCGCGUGAGGGAAGAAGGUUUUCGGAUUGUAAACCUCUUUCUUCGGUGACGAAACGAGACGGUAGCCGAGGCGGAAGCCACGGCUAACUACGUGCCCGCAGCCGCGGUAAUACGGAGGUGGCAAGCGUUGUCCGGAAUUACGGGGUGUAAAGGGAGCGUAGGCGGGAAAGCAAGUGGAGUGUUUAAGGUACUGGCUCAACCUGUACAAGCGUUCAAAACUGUUUGUCUUGAGUACUGGAGAGGCAGGCGGAAUGCGUAGUGUAGCGGUGAAAUGCGUAGAUAUUAGGAGGAACACCAGUGGCGAAGGCGGUCUGCUGGACAGCCACUGACGCUGAGGCGCGAAAGCGUGGGGAGCAAACAGGAUUAGAUACCCCGGUAGUC